CGCCAUUCCAUGAUCAUUGGGUUAUCGUCUGCAUUCCUGACGUAGUGUUUACAGCUUCCUGCUUAUGGCAACAAGGAAGCAGAACGCAGAGUGAUGAGAGAUUUAUGUGGAUAUGAUAGCACUGGACACUUCGAGGCUCCAUUGGCAAAACAUGCGGCAAAUAGGAAACCAAGGGGUGAGCUGAAAAUAUCUAUGUAGACCUUUGACAUUUAAGAAGUAUAUGCCCUAAGAUUUCUACAGAUCCUGAAAUUCAUCACUACGGCAGAAUCACGCAUCUUAUGAAAACCAAGAAUAAAAUGACACCUGACAACCUUGCCAGCUCAGCACAUCUGGAGGCACUAAAUGUCUGACCCAGGAAAUGUGCAUCAAACUGACGGGGUCUCAGAAAAUGUUACUGCAAAAUGAAGUCCUCAGAAGCAGCUCUCUCUCUGACCUUCUCCAAACCUCCUGUCUCUGGACCUUCAUUUCCACCCAUCUCCUCCUCCCCACCACCGCCAGGCUGGCCAUGCGUACUAGACUCCCUCUUCCUCAAGGUGAAUUGACUGCUGGGGAAAUGGGCUCAGGAGAUUAAAGGCCUGCUUAUUAAUGGAAAGAGCUUCCUCCCACACACAGAUAUAUAAAGCCGCCUCGCCAUUUCUUCCUUCCACCGUGACCCAUAGUCUUUCUGGGACAAGGGCUGAGAUUUCACAGCCGAGUUUUAAAGUUGCUGGGGAUGCUAACAACAGGGACUUUUAUGCUUGAAUUUCUGCUGCAAAUCAUACACCCUUGGACUCAGUCCACUAAGUCUAUAGAAUUAUCUGCAAAGCAAUGCAAUAGGAUAUACAAAUUUUUUGACUAUUUGUAUCGAAAAUAAAUCAGGACCUUGAACUAUAUAAAAAGCUAACACAUUAUCAUGAAAACUCUGCAUGAAUACUGAUAAAACAUACUGGAUGCCCUUUGACUCUUACAGUCCUUGUUCUCAUCUUUUUGCUUAUAUCCAUUUCUCUUUUCAAUUAAUUUGGAAUAAUUUUGCUUGAAUAAUAAUCUGAUAGUAACUUCAUUAUUUCUAAUUAUAUUAUCUUAAUGUGCAAAUUCAAUCAUUUUUGGCUUACAUUAACAAAGAUAAAAAUGUGUGACAGAGGUUAGUAAUAGAAGGUUAGUUUUACAUGAAAUGAGGACCAGAUAAAAGACCAGUACAAUGUUAUAUAUUUAUGUCCUUCACAUGAUAGGCAGACAUCAAUCCUUGAUGUCAUGUUCAAAUAAAGGACUUAUAUAUAUGCAUAGUGACAAAGCACUAUGCAUAUGUAUAUGCAUGGGAACAAUGGAGAGAAGUUCAGUGAGAGAAUUCCCAAUUGUAUUAAUUACUACAAACAUUUAUUGAAUAAAAUGUGCAGCACUUAUAGAACAUUUUUCCUAUGGGAUAAGUUGCCAAUCCAUACUUCAUUGUUGUUGCUGUAUCAGCUCAGACUCUUUGAAGUUAGUCUUAUUUAUUCACUUUUUUAGCGGAUCUACAGGGGUUAUGUAAGUUGGCUAAACUCACUCAACUAGUAAGACAUAUACAAAGGAUGUAAACUACGUUUAUGAGGUAAGAAAGACUAUGAUUUUGCUUUUAUUACUGCGACUAGGACCCUCUGGGGAUACAAAAGCUAUGAUAAAAAAAAUUCAUUAGCCUGUGUGUCUAAUAUGGCCCUCAAAGUAGUAUUAUCAUUUGCAAUUAACUAUAACACUGAAUCGUAUUCUUCAAAUGCAAACCAUGGGCCUUGCAGAGCCUUUAUAGAUGCUCUGUGGCACAGCACUUAUUUAGUCUGUCUCUUUAAUUAACCUGAUCCAAAUGUGACAUUAAUAAAUUGUUCUUUGUGAACCGAAAAGUCGUAAUUACUCAGAAAGGACAUGCUUAAUUGUCCUUUAUCUUUAGCCUACCACUAUACACAUCCAACAAAUCAGGUCAAAAUUCUCAAUUCAAUUUCCAAAUAAUUCAUAAUAUUUUUAUUUACUAUAGCAUAACCUGGUCAGGCAUGGUGGCUCAGGCCUG
rnacentral:lncRNA from 10 species